GACGAACGCUGGCGGCGUGCCUAAUACAUGCAAGUCGAGCGGACCAAAGGGAGCUUGCUCCUGGAGGUCAGCGGCGAACGGGUGAGUAACACGUGGGCAACCUGCCUGUAAGACUGGGAUAACAUCGAGAAAUCGGUGCUAAUACCGGAUAAUAAAAAGAACUGCAUGGUUCUUUUUUGAAAGAUGGUUUCGGCUAUCACUUACAGAUGGGCCCGCGGCGCAUUAGCUAGUUGGUGAGGUAACGGCUCACCAAGGCAACGAUGCGUAGCCGACCUGAGAGGGUGAUCGGCCACACUGGGACUGAGACACGGCCCAGACUCCUACGGGAGGCAGCAGUGGGGAAUCUUGCGCAAUGGGCGAAAGCCUGACGCAGCGACGCCGCGUGGGCGAAGAAGGCCUCGG
rnacentral:rRNA from 1 species